rnacentral:misc_RNA from 1 species
AACUUUCAACAACGGAUCUCUUGGUUCUGGCAUCGAUGAAGAACGCAGCGAAAUGCGAUAAGUAGUGUGAAUUGCAGAAUUCAGUGAAUCAUCGAAUCUUUGAACGCACAUUGCGCCCCUUGGUAUUCCAUGGGGCAUGCCUGUUCGAGCGUCAUUUGUACCCUCAAGCCUUGCUUGGUGCUGGGUGUUUGUUCCGCCGCGCGCGUGAACUCGCCUCAAAUGGAUUGGCAGCCGGCAGCCUGGUGUUUCGAGCGCAGCACAUUUUGCGCUCGUCGCCGAGCGGCGGCAUCCACGAAGCCCGCAUCUACACACGCUUGACCUCGGAUCAGGUAGGGAUACCCGCUGAACUUAAGCAUAUCAAUAAGCGGAGGAAAAGAAACCAACAGGGAUUGCCCUAGUAACGGCGAGUGAAGCGGCAUCAGCUCAAAUUUGAAAUCUGGCUCUUUCAGAGUCCGAGUUGUAAUUUGCAGAGGGCGCUUUGGCGUUGGCAGCGGUCCAAGUUCCUUGGAACAGGACGUCACAGAGGGUGAGAAUCCCGUACGUGGUCGCUGGCCUUCACCGUGUAAAGCCCCUUCGACGAGUCGAGUUGUUUGGGAAUGCAGCUCUAAAUGGGAGGUAAAUUUCUUCUAAAGCUAAAUACUGGCCAGAGACCGAUAGCGCACAAGUAGAGUGAUCGAAAGAUGAAAAGCACUUUGGAAAGAGAGUCAAACAGCACGUGAAAUUGUUGAAAGGGAAGCGCUUGCAGCCAGACUUGCCUGUAGUUGCUCAUCCGGGCUUUUGCCCGGUGCAUUCUUCUGUAGGCAGGCCAGCAUCAGUUUGGGCGGUUGGAUAAAGGCCUCUGUCACGUACCUCCUUUCGGGGAGGCCUUAUAGGGGAGGCGDCAUGCAACCAGCCUGGACUGAGGUCCGCGCAUCUGCUAGGAUGCUGGCGUAAUGGCUGUAAGCGGCCCGUCUUGAAACACGGACCAAGGAGUCUAACAUCUAUGCGAGUGUUUGGGUGUCAAGCCCGAGCGCGCAAUGAAAGUGAACGGAGGUGGGAHCCCGCAAGGGUGCACCAUCGACCGAUCCUGAAGUCUUCGGAUGGAUUUGAGUAHGAGCAUGGCUGUUGGGACCCGAAAGAUGGUGAACUAUGCUUGAAUAGGGUGAAGCCAGAGGAAACUCUGGUGGAGGCUCGCAGCGGUUCUGACGUGCAAAUCGAUCGUCAAAUUUGGGCAUAGGGGCGAAAGACUAAUCGAACUAUCUAGUAGCUGGUUCCUGC